rnacentral:rRNA from 1 species
GUGGGUAGCCGCACGAGCGCACCCCCUAUGAUUAGUUGCCAGCGAGUAAUGUCGGGGACUCUAGUCAGACUGCCUGUAUUAAACAGGAGGAAGGUGGGGACGACGUCAAGUCAGUACGGCCCUUACGCCUAGGGCUGCACACGUACUACAAUGCCCAGUACAAUGUGAACCGAUACCGUAAGGUGGAGGAAAUCCUUAAAACUGGGCUCAGUUCGGAUUGUGGGCUGCAACUCGCCCACAUGAAGCUGGAAUCGCUAGUAAUGGCACAUCAGCUACGGUGCCGUGAAUACGUUCCCGGGUCUUGUACACACCGCCCGUCACAUCAUGGAAGCCGCUCGCACCCGAAGUACCUCUAUAGGGUCCUAAGGUGUAGGUGGUAACUGGGAUGAAGUCGUAACAAGGUAGCCGUAGGGGAACCUGCGGCUGGAUCACCUCCUUU